AAUUCUCAACUCUAUUUGCUUUUGUGAAUAGAGCUUGGACUUGGAGGUUUAUUGCCGGUACCUGUGAUCGGCUCCUCUUGAAUGCAUUAGCUCGAACCUUUUGUGGAUCAGCUUAUCGGUGUGAUAAAAUGUCUACGCCGUUACUGUGAAGCAUAUUAUUCGGCUUCCAAUCGUCCUUCACGGGACAAUAACUUUGACCUUUGACCU
rnacentral:misc_RNA from 1 species